GAGGCUAUAGCUCAGUGGUAGAGCAUGUGCUUAGCAUGCACAAGGUCCUGAGUUCAGUCCCCAGUUCCCCCA
rnacentral:tRNA from 1 species